rnacentral:rRNA from 1 species
AGCAGCCGCGGUAAUUCCAGCUCCAAUAGCGUAUAUUAAAGUUGUUGCAGUUAAAAAGCUCGUAGUUGAACUUCGGGGUUUACCCAUUGGUCAGGCUUAAUUGUCUGUACUGGUGAGAUAAAUCUCUACCUUCUGAGGAACUUUCAUGUCAUUAAUUUGGUGUGAUUGGAAAUCAGGACUGUUACUUUGAAAAAAUUAGAGUGUUUAAAGCAGGCUAACGUCUGAAUACAUUAGCAUGGAAUAAUGAAAUAGGACGGACUGAUUCUAUUUCGUUGGUUUCUAGGAUCAUCGUAAUGAUUAAUAGGGAUAGUUGGGGGCAUUAGUAUUCAAUUGUCAGAGGUGAAAUUCUUGGAUUUAUUGAAGACUAACUACUGCGAAAGCAUUUGCCAAGGAUGUUUUCAUUAAUCAAGAACGAAAGUUAGGGGAUCGAAGACGAUCAGAUACCGUCGUAGUCUUAACCAUAAACUAUGCCGACUAGGGAUCGGACGAAGUUAAUUUUAUAAUGACGCG